rnacentral:tRNA from 1 species
GGGUUUGAAGCUCAGUGGUAGAGUACUUGCUUAGCAUGUAAGAAGCCUGGGUUCUAUCCCCAGCACCACCG